rnacentral:rRNA from 1 species
UACGUAGGUGGCAAGCGUUAUCCGGAAUUAUUGGGCGUAAAGAGCUCGCAGGUGGUUGAUUAAGUCUGAUGUGAAAGCCCACGGCUUAACCGUGGAGGGUCAUUGGAAACUGGUCAACUUGAGUGCAGAAGAGGGAAGUGGAAUUCCAUGUGUAGCGGUGAAAUGCGUAGAUAUCGUCAGGAACGCCAAUGGUGAAGACAGGUGACUGGGCUAGAUCUGACACUGAGGCACGAAAGCGUGGGGAGCGAACGGG